rnacentral:lncRNA from 1 species
CGGAAUAUGAUUGGGAGAUGAUAUCAAAGUCGCGAAACUCGUACUGCGGUCGGCUCUGCUCUCUUUCAUUUCGUCUGAAACCCUAGCUUGAGACGGCGAGAGGAUUCAUCCCCUAUACGAAAAUCGAAAGUUCACUCCACAUCAAAAUCCUCCAAAUCGAAACUCACUCCACAUCGAAAUCGAAAGCCACAUCUCCAAUUCACCAAACCGAAAGCCAAACCUCACUCCACAUCGAAAUCCCGCAAAUCAAA